AUUGAACGCUGGCGGCAGGCCUAACACAUGCAAGUCGAACGAGUGGCGGAGGGGUGAGUAAUGUCGGGGAAACUGCCCGGUGGAGGGGGAUAAAUACUGGAAACGGUAGAUAAUACCGCAUCCCAUCGGAUGUCCCCAGGUGGGAUUAGCUAGUGGGUGGGGUAAAGGCUCACCUAGGCGACGAUCCCUAGCUGGUCUGAGAGGAUGACCAGCCACACUGGAACUGAGACACGGUCCAGACUCCUACGGGAGGCAGCAGUGGGGAAUAUUGCACAAUGGGCGCAAGCCUGAUGCAGCCAUGCCGCGUGUAUGAAGAAGGCCUUCGGGUUGUAAAGUACUUUCAGCGGGGAGGCGUUACCCGCAGAAGAAGCACCGGCUAACUCCGUGCCAGCAGCCGCGGUAAUUC
rnacentral:rRNA from 1 species